UUACGCCAGCAUCCUAGCCGAAGCGCGGACCUCGCCCGAGCGGCGCCGUAUUGUGCGGUGGGCUAUAACACCCCGAGGGGCCACAUUCCCACCGCCUUUGUCCGGCGCGCCCAGACGAUGCUGGCCUGCCGGCGGCGAGUAGACCGGGCAGAAGCCCGGCGGAACACCGCCGACAAGUCUGGUUGCAUGCGCUUCCCUUUCAACAAUUUCACGUGCUUUUUAACUCUCUUUCCAAAGUGCUUUUCAUCUUUCGAUCACUCUACUUGUGCGCUAUCGGUCUCUGGCCGGUAUUUAGCUUUAGAUGACAUUUACCACCCAUUUAGAGCUGCAUUCCCAAACAACUCGACUCGUCGAAGGAGCUACGUGACGGGUGCCAACCGGUCGCAUACGGGAUUCUCACCCUCUAUGACGUCCUGUUCCAAGGAACUUAGACCGGCCGCUGCCCAGAAGCAUCCUCUACAAAUUACAACUCGGGCUUGCGCCAGAUUUCAAAUUUGAGCUGUUGCCGCUUCACUCGCCGUUACUAGGGCAAUCCCU
rnacentral:misc_RNA from 1 species